rnacentral:rRNA from 1 species
ACGGGAGGCAGCAGUGGGGAAUCUUGCGCAAUGCGCGAAAGCGUGACGCAGCAACGCCGCGUGGGGGAAGAAGGCCUUCGGGUUGUAAACCCCUUUCAGGAGGGACGAAGCCCGGGCGGUGAAUAGCCGACUCGGGUGACGGUACCUCCACAAGAAGCCCCGGCUAACUACGUGCCAGCAGCCGCGGUAAUACGUAGGGGGCAAGCGUUGUCCGGAAUCAUUGGGCGUAAAGAGCGUGUAGGCGGUCCGGUAAGUCGGCUGUGAAAGUCCAGGGCUCAACUCUGGGAUGCCGGUCGAUACUGCCGGACUAGAGUUCGGAAGAGGCGAGUGGAAUUCCCGGUGUAGCGGUGAAAUGCGCAGAUAUCGGGAGGAACACCUAUGGCGAAGGCAGCUCGCUGGGACGUUACUGACGCUGAGACGCGAAAGCGUGGGGAGCAAACAGGAUUAGAUACCCUGGUA